rnacentral:tRNA from 1 species
GGAGAGGUGGCCGAGCGGUCGAAGGCGCACGCCUGGAGAGCGUGUAUACCCUUUGGGUAUCCAGGGUUCGAAUCCCUGCCUCUCCGCCA